UACGUAGGGGGGCAAGCGUUGUCCGGAUUUACUGGGCGUAAAGAGCGUGUAGGCGGCCAAACAGGUCCCGUUGUGAAAAACUGGGAGGCUCAACUUCCAGACGUCGACGGAAACCCGUGUGGCUAGAGUCCCGGAAGAGGAGAGUGGGAAUUCCUGGUGUAGCGGUGAAAUGCGCAGAUAUCAGGAAGAACACCAAUGGCGAAGGCAGCUUGCUCGGGACGUGACUGACGCUGAGACGCGAAAGCGUGGGGAGCAAACAGG
rnacentral:rRNA from 1 species